CAAACACGUCGGCGGAGGAAGGAUAUGAUCAAUUUAGGAGGCUGAUAAAUAAUUACUAUCCAAUUAUGGUGAACGCCAACCGAAAGAACAAAAUUUUGAAAAUGGAAGGAGGAGUGCAGGUUGAGCAAAACGCCAUGGCUGUGGACUCAGGGGUACCUCACCUUCCUGAUCUUAUUGUUGAAAAGAUUUUCCGGCUCAUUCCCACUAAACUUGCCGUACGCUCAGCAGUUGUUUCCAAGCAAUGGGGAAAUGUGUGGUCUUUGGGAGUCCCCUUCUUACAUUUCGACGACGAGGGAGAUGAUGAUGACCGCAGGAAGCUGUUAUUCGUCAACUUUGUGGAAAGCUGUUUGAGACAUUGUGAAAAAAUCAAGCUCUUGGAGUUGGAUAGUUUUAGGCUUCGAAUGAGACAUGAUUGUGAUGUAAUAGACUCGAGAAGAAUAGACGAGUGGUUUAGCUUUAUGGUUGAAUGGUUGAUAGAUGCGUCAAAGAGUUAGAUAUCAGCAUUCAGAGAAGAGAUGAAGGUGAUUUAGUUGGGAGCAGAUACUACCUCAUACCUCUUACCAUUCUCAAUACGCAAUAUCUUACCUGUCUGAAUCUGGAGCAUGUGAGAAUACCAGAUAGUAUUGAUCUGAUAAGCCUUCCGUUGUUAAAAGAUAUGUCCCUAAAAGCUGUGUUGUUUGAUUGCCGCAUGAACAUGGCUAAAUCACUCUUGAAGGGGUGUCCCUCCAUCGAGCAUUUGUCGCUAGUUUCGUGUUCGUUUAGCUUAUUGGGGAACAACUGGAUUGUUAUCAUCAAUUCCAGUCUAAAAUUCUUGCAGGUUAUGUAUUGCAAGUGCAGGUCUAUUAACGUUAGAGCUGAGAAUCUUGAACAUUUUAUUUUCACUUCAGAAUUUCCACAACUUAGCUCCAUCACCUUGUAUAGGGAAUGUGUCAGGUUGAAAUAUAUCAGCGUUUCUGCCCAGCUUUCUGAUCCUUGCUUUGUAAUGCCUGGAACAUGCCGACAUAAUUUGGAGGCCACUAUUGAUAUUCCAAAUCUCAAAGUUUUUAGGUAUGAUGGCUAUUUGCUGCCUAAUGAUGUAAUCUCUGUGAAAGCUGGAAAUCCAUUGGCUGCAACUCUCCAGCUUGAUUGGGAUGAUGAACAAGUUGUAGAAUCCACUCUGCUCCAUGCAAGGUUACAUUUUCCUACUUGGAGACAUUUUCUUCUAAACUUUGAUUGCUGCAAUAAAGUAGUUCUAGAUAUCCGUCAUGAUACCGUUGCUGAGGCUCUCACAUUUCCAGAAAAUUUCAGGAAGACAUUCUCUCCACCAUUACUGAAUCUCAAGCGUCUUAUAGUUUCAGUUGUACGACUUCGUUGUCCUCAAACACUGGCCAGAAUAUCUGUAUUCACAGACUCUUUGUGCUGGAUGGCACCAAAUGCAUGGAUUGAAUUACUGUACUGGGACUAUGCCCACCUGAAAUCAGAAAAUCCACUGGAGAUCUCAUGAAGGUCUUCCUAACAGAUUUUGAUAUACUGAUUUACUUGCAUGGCACUGAUGGCAGAGGCGCUGUUCGUUUUUAUCCAAAAGGUCCUUCAUCAUGCAUAGUAGAAUUAACUGUCUCAUAUGAAGUUCCUGCCAUUUUGGCUCCAGUGGCAUCAGCACUGCAACCUUUUACAGAAAGUUUACUUGCACGUGGCUUGGAAAGAUGUGAUCUUUACUGAUGAUGGAUGAGGGGUGGUCGACGGGUGCAAAAACACAACAUACAGCUUUUAACACAACACCACCAGCCUCCCCUUUCUUAUGUCUAUGUACAUCAACCCGGAGCCAAGCUCACUUCGAGGUGAAUAUCAGAAACUAAAACACCGACAAAACUGGUGGCUGCAAUCGAUCUCAGAAAUGAAGCAGCCAGAACAAUGUAUGAACACCCUCUUUCCAAGAAGAGGUUGAUUAGA